UACGUAGGGGGCGAGCGUUGUCCGGAAUGACUGGGCGUAAAGGGCGCGUAGGCGGCCAGACAAGUCUGGAGUGAAAGUCCCGCUUUCAAGGUGGGAAUGGCUUUGGAAACUGUCUGGCUUGAGUGUGGGAGAGGAUAGCGGAAUUCCCGGUGUAGCGGUGAAAUGCGUAGAGAUCGGGAGGAACACCAGUGGCGAAGGCGGCUAUCUGGACCAAGACUGACGCUGAGGCGCGAAAGCGUGGGUAGCAAACAGGAUUAGAUACCCUGGUAGUCCACGCUGUAAACGAUGGAUGCUAGGUGUAGGAGGUAUCGACCCCUUCUGUGCCGGAGUCAACACAAUAAGCAUCCCGCCUGGGGAGUACGGCCGCAAGGUUGAA
rnacentral:rRNA from 1 species